CCUACGGGGGGCAGCAGUGGGGAAUAUUGGACAAUGGGGGCAACCCUGAUCCAGCCAUGCCGCGUGUGUGAAGAAGGCCCUCGGGUUGUAAAGCACUUUCAGUGAGGAAGAACGCCUGGUGGUUAAUACCCAUCAGGAAAGACAUCACUCACAGAAGAAGCACCGGCUAACUCCGUGCCAGCAGCCGCGGUAAUACGGAGGGUGCGAGCGUUAAUCGGAAUUACUGGGCGUAAAGCGCGCGUAGGUGGCUUGAUAAGCCGGUUGUGAAAGCCCCGGGCUCAACCUGGGAACGGCAUCCGGAACUGUCAAGCUAGAGUGCAGGAGAGGAAGGUAGAAUUCCCGGUGUAGCGGUGAAAUGCGUAGAGAUCGGGAGGAAUACCAGUGGCGAAGGCGGCCUUCUGGACUGACACUGACACUGAGGUGCGAAAGCGUGGGUAGCAAACAGGAUUAGAUGCCCGUGUAGUC
rnacentral:rRNA from 1 species